AUUGAACGCUGGCGGCAGGCCUAACACAUGCAAGUCGAGCGGAUGAGUGGAGCUUGCUCCAUGAUUCAGCGGCGGACGGGUGAGUAAUGCCUAGGAAUCUGCCUGGUAGUGGGGGAUAACGUUUCGAAAGGAACGCUAAUACCGCAUACGUCCUACGGGAGAAAGCAGGGGACCUUCGGGCCUUGCGCUAUCAGAUGAGCCUAGGUCGGAUUAGCUAGUAGGUGAGGUAAUGGCUCACCUAGGCGACGAUCCGUAACUGGUCUGAGAGGAUGAUCAGUCACACUGGAACUGAGACACGGUCCAGACUCCUACGGGAGGCAGCAGUGGGAAAUAUUGGACAAUGGGCGAAAGCCUGAUCCAGCCAUGCCGCGUGUGUUAAGAAGGUCUUCGGAUUGUAAAGCACUUUAAGUUGGGAGGAAGGGCAGUAAGUUAAUACCUUGCUGUUUUGACGUUACCAACAGAAUAAGCACCGGCUAACUUCGUGCCAGCAGCCGCAGUAACAC
rnacentral:rRNA from 1 species